rnacentral:tRNA from 1 species
UAGCUCAGGGGUAGAGCACCUCCUUGGUAAGGAGGGGGUCACCGGUUCAAUCCCGGUCGA